UAGGGAAUCUUCCACAAUGGACGCAAGUCUGAUGGAGCAACGCCGCGUGAGUGAAGAAGGCUUUCGGGUCGUAAAACUCUGUUAUUGAAGAAGAACGUGUGUGACAGUAACUGGUCAUGCAGUGACGGUAUUCAAUCAGAAAGUCACGGCUAACUACGUGCCAGCAGCCGCGGUAAUACGUAGGUGGCAAGCGUUGUCCGGAUUUAUUGGGCGUAAAGCGAGUGCAGGCGGUCUUUUAAGUCUGAUGUGAAAGCCUUCGGCUUAACCGAAGAAGGGCAUCGGAAACUGGGAGACUUGAGUGC
rnacentral:rRNA from 1 species